CAAAGAACAAAGUGCUCGAAGAAACGCGUCAAUUUUGAAACGAUUUCGAAGUCUGAAAGUUCCGGAUGAUAGAAGAACACGGAAAGAAAGAACGAAAGGUGGGAUUUCUACGUGGCAAGAGGUUCCCGCUGUGGAAUCGCAUAGUCGAGGAACAAGAGAAAAAAUGAACGAGAUAAAAGGAAGAAAGUGAAAAGAAAAAGAUACAGAACAACUUUGUGGCGAAGCAUCGCUUAAAUUGGGGCCACGAUUGACUAAUAUUCUGCUGUUCAAGAAACAACAGGAGUGAUCAUCCAUAUGCUAAUUGAUUGCCAAUUAAUCAUGCGGUAAAAGUAAAACUCUUGACAAAGCUAGGCAUGUAGAUCCCGGUUUCUCUUAUAUGUUCCAGUCUUGGCGAGACAAGAACAUAAAACGAUU